rnacentral:rRNA from 1 species
CCCUUAGAUGUCCUGGGCUGCACGCGCGCUACACUGAUGCGCUCAACGAGUUUACGAUCUUGCCUGAAAUGGCUGGGUAAUCUUUUUAAAAUGCAUCGUGAUGGGGAUAGAUUAUUGCAAUUAUUAAUCUUCAACGAGGAAUUCCUAGUAAGCGCGAGUCAUCAGCUCGCGUUGAUUACGUCCCUGCCCUUUGUACACACCGCCCGUCGCUCCUACCGAUUGAAUGGUCCGGUGAAAUCUUCGGAUUGCUGACCAAGAUCCAGCAAUGGAGCUUGGUUGCGAGAAGUUGAUUAAACCUUAUUAUUUAGAGGAAGGAGAAGUCGUAACA